AAGUCGUAACAAGGUUUCCGUAGGUGAACCUGCGGAAGGAUCAUUAACACGUAUCCAACGUUAAACCCCCCCUGUGAACUUUUAGCACUGCUCUUGCAGCCCGUCUUCCUCCAGCAAUCCCUAGUAAAUCAUGGCGAACAGUUUGAUUUAGGGACUUCUGAGUCACGAGAAAUUACAGUUGCAAUUGUAGCGGUAGUGCAAGCAAUCUCAGCUUCUCCUGGGUCCUUUGGUGAAUUGUAAAGUGUCAUCAGAGAUCGCCGACGAGAAGGCCCUACGGCUUCACUGGAGGACAUCACGUCCGGUGACUAGAUGCUCGGGUCCCCAUGCCCCCUUACAACCCCAUGUCUCGCAGCCGGGUCGCGAUAAUACGCUUGACCUAAAAAUAAAAACCGAACAACUGUUAACAAUGGAUAUCUUGGUUCUC
rnacentral:misc_RNA from 1 species